GGGUUAUUAGCUCAAUUGGUAGAGCAACCGACCCUUAAUCGGUAGGUUCUGGGUUCGAGUCCCUGAUAGCCCA
rnacentral:tRNA from 1 species